CACCAAUGCUACUCAGUUUUGUUGCGGGGUUUCCCUCAUUGCUUGAUCUUGUUGUUCUGUUUUGCUGUGUUAUUAAAUCCGGGCUUUCUUCGAAGUGAAGUAAGGUGGAAGGAGAUUAUUUCUUGGCAUAUGAGGUUUAUCAUAUUAAUUGUGGAAGUUCUUGGAUGGACUGAGCUCUUGAACGACGUGAGGUACAGAUGCUCACGUUGGUAACCCGCCAGCUUAGGAGUCCUAUUCAGCUAUCUUGGAGAGCUCCCUUGUUCCGGAGCCUAGAAUUUGGUACAGAAUCUCUUGUGGUGUAUAUGUAUUUUAUCCAGGGGUCGGCGGGGCCCUGUCCCGUCAUAUGAUACUGUUGUUACUCUUAGAGGUCUGUAGACAUAUGUGUGGGUUGUGUAUAAGUUCUGUUCAGCUGUGUCUAUACGAUGUGCUAUGAUAUGAUGUCCGUCUGUAGUGGCAGCCUUGUCGGCUUGCAAUGACAUGAUAUUGAUGUGUAGUGGCAACCUUGUCGGCUUGCGUAUCAUUUUA